rnacentral:rRNA from 1 species
GCAAGUCGAGGGGUAACAGGGAGAGCUUGCUUUCUGCUGACGACCGGCGCACGGGUGCGUAACGCGUAUACAAUCUGCCUAUCACUGAGGGAUAGCCCGAAGAAAUUUGGAUUAAUACCUCAUAGUAUUAUAGAAUCGCAUGGUUUUAUAAUUAAAGGUUACGGUGAUAGAUGAGUAUGCGUCCUAUUAGCUAGAUGGAGAGGUAAAGGCUCCCCAUGGCUACGAUAGGUAGGGGUCCUGAGAGGGAGAUCCCCCACACUGGUACUGAGACACGGACCAGACUCCUACGGGAGGCAGCAGUGAGGAAUAUUGGACAAUGGGCGCAAGCCUGAUCCAGCCAUGCCGCGUGUAGGAAGACGGCCCUAUGGGUUGUAAACUACUUUUAUACGGGAAGAAACCUAUCCUCGUGAGGAUAGCUGACGGUACCGUAAGAAUAAGCACCGGCUAACUCCGUGCCAGCAGCCGCGGUAAUACGGAGGGUGCAAGCGUUAUCCGGAAUCAUUGGGUUUAAAGGGUCCGUAGGCGGGCUAAUAAGUCAGUGGUGAAAUGCAGGGGCUCAACUCCGGCACUGCCAUUGAUACUGUUAGUCUUGAAUUAUUGUGAAGUGGUUAGAAUAUGUAGUGUAGCGGUGAAAUGCUUAGAUAUUACAUAGAAUACCGAUUGCGAAGGCAGAUCACUAACAAUAUAUUGACGCUGAUGGACGAAAGCGUGGGUAGCGAACAGGAUUAGAUACCCUGGUAGUCCACGCCGUAAACGAUGGUUACUAGCUGUUUGGACGAAUUGACGUCUGAGUGGCCAAGCGAAAGUGAUAAGUAACCCACCUGGGGAGUACGUUCGCAAGAAUGAAACUCAAAGGAAUUGACGGGGGCCCGCACAAGCGGUGGAGCAUGUGGUUUAAUUCGAUGAUACGCGAGGAACCUUACCAGGGCUUAAAUGUAGUAUGACAGAUUUGGAAACAGAUUUUUCUUCGGACAUAUUACAAGGUGCUGCAUGGUUGUCGUCAGCUCGUGCCGUGAGGUGUCAGGUUAAGUCCUAUAACGAGCGCAACCCCUAUUGCUAGUUGCCAGCGAGUCAUGUCGGGGACUCUAGCGAGACUGCCGGUGCAAACCGUGAGGAAGGUGGGGAUGACGUCAAAUCAUCACGGCCCUUACGUCCUGGGCCACACACGUGCUACAAUGGUAGGGACAGAGAGCAGCCACCACGCGAGUGGGAGCGAAUCUAUAAACCCUAUCACAGUUCGGAUCGUAGUCUGCAACUCGACUACGUGAAGCUGGAAUCGCUAGUAAUCGCAUAUCAGCCAUGAUGCGGUGAAUACGUUCCCGGGCCUUGUACACACCGCCCGUCAAGCCAUGGAAGCUGGGGGUACCUGAAGUCGGUGACCGCAAGGAGCUGCCUAGGGUA